rnacentral:tRNA from 1 species
ACAGUGAUGGUUCAGUGGUAGAAUUCUUGCCUUCCAGGUAGGAGACCUGGGUUUGAUUCUCGGCUAAUGUA